rnacentral:rRNA from 1 species
AGUGAACGCUGGCGGUAGGCCUAACACAUGCAAGUCGAACGGCAGCACAGUAAGAGCUUGCUCUUACGGUUGGCGAGUGGCGGACGGGUGACGCAUACAUCGGAAUCUACUUUUUCGUGGGGGAUAACGUAGGAAAACUUCCGCUACUACCUCAUACGAUCUACGGCUGAAAGCAGGAGAUCUUCGCACCUUUCGCGUUUCAAUUAGAUGGUGUCGGAUUAGCUAGUUGGCUGGGUAAAGGCACACCAAGGCAACGAUCCGUAGCUGGUCUGAGAGGAUGAUCAGCCACACUGGAACUGAGACACGGUCCAGACUCCUACGGGAGGCAGCAGUGGGGAAUAUUGGACAAUGGGCGCAAGCCUGAUCCAGCCAUACCGCGUGAGUGAAGAAGGCCUUCGGAUUGUAAAACCCUUUUAUUAGGAAAGAAAAACAGCAUAUUAAUACCCCGCUGUUCUGACGGUACCCAAACAAUAAGCACCGGCUAACUUCGUG